rnacentral:rRNA from 1 species
AUGCUCACAGGGAGAGGUCGGGAGAGAGAAGCUCAAUCGACACCGAUGGAGUCCACGGCGGUGAGCAUCGGCAAGUCCGUGCUGAAAGGAGCGCUUGGAUGCGCCAAAUCCGCCAUCAUGGAGGACACGGCCAUGGAGCUCGGAGUCCAACACGACAAGGCCUUCAUCACGGACGAGCUGCAGAUGAUGCAGUCUUUCCUGAUGGUGGCACACGAUGAUGAGCAAGAUGACCACGUCAACAAGGUGGUCACGACCUGGGCGAACCAGGUCCGCGACGUCGCCUACGACGUCGAGGAUGGCCUCAAGGACAUCGUCGUCCGCAUCCACGGGCAAUCCUGCUGGGGAAUCCCUCGCACACUCCUCGACCGGCGCCAUGUCGUCGAGCAGAUGAAGGAGUUGCGUGCCAAGGUGGAGGACGUGAGCCAGAGGAAUGCAUGCUACCGCCUCAUCGACGGUGCGUCCAAAGCUCCCGACCUCUCCAUCAACACCGGCGCUGCUGAUGCCAUGCUCGGCGUUGAUGAAGCAACAAGACAUGCCAUGAAUCAGCAUGGAUCAAGACCAGUGAUAGAUCUCGCCCAGCUGAUCGUCAGGGAUGUCCCGGGCUCGGGCUCGGGCUCGGGCUCUGGCCAAAUUGGAGUGAUCGGAGUGUGGGGAACAAGUGGCACCGCUGGGCAUACCUCCAUCAUCCUGGAGGCCUAUGACAAUCCAGCCAUAAAAGUGCAAUUUCCAUGCCGCGCGUGGGUCAGAGUGACGCGGCCUUUCCAACCCCAAGAGUUUGUCCAAAGUAUGGUGGAGCAGUUUCAAGAAACUUUUGUAGAGGUGGCUGAUUCUCCUUUGGAGCUGGAGCUGGAGGAGGCAAAGCCGGGUCGAGAGUUGGCACGCCAAGACGGCGUGUACAUCAUCAACAAGAGGUACCUCAUUGUGCUUACGGACCUAUCCACCAUGGAAGAGUGGCAGCAGAUCAAGGCUUGCUUCCCUGAAAACAAAAUGGGGAGCCAAAUCGUAGUGUCUGCGGAGCGAGUUGAAGUUGCAAGCUUGUGUCCAGGCCAGAAAAGUAUGGUUUCCAAGCUGAAGAAAUUGUCUGCUGAGCAGACCAUCUAUGCUUUCCACCAGCAGAGCUUUCAAGACACAACAUAUUCAUCAAAGGCAACGUCGAGCUUAGUGUUACACCACACCAUUGAGAAUGAGAUACAAAAAGGCCAAUCUUAUUCUGAAGAUGAUGACAUGACAAUGAUCCAAGAGAGCCUCACACACACCAGUAAUGUGCUAGGUCCUGUAGAAGAAUUUCAGCUUAUUGGGCGGGAGAAAGAAAUAUCUGAUAUUAUUGAAUUGAUUCUAGAACACUCUGGCACCCAACAACAAAAUCAGGUCAUUGCAGUGUGGGGAAAGGGUGGUGUUGGGAAAAGCACUCUGAUCAAUGAUAUUUACCGUAGCCAAGAGGUCAAUCAAAUGUUUGAAAAGCAUGCCUAUGUCACAGUCUUGCAACCUUUCAAGCUUGAGAGGCUCAUUAGCAGCUUAGCAUUUCAACUAGAUGCAAGGAAAGUUGCUUCAACGAAAGUUGCAGACUUUACUAGAGUGUUGGACCGGUGUUUACAAGAAAAGAGUUGCUUGAUUGUUCUUGAUGACCUCUCGUCUACCAUGGAAUGGGAUAUAAUAUUGCCAUGUUUGCUGGCAAUGAAUAGUCCAAGCUUGGUUAUUCUGAUAACCACAAGGCAUGAGGAUAUUGCUAAGCAUUGUUGCAAAAACACAAAGUGCAUACGCUUGCUCAAUGGUCUAAAUGAAAAGGGUGCUUGUGACCUCUUCACAGAAAAGGUAUUUAAGGAUAAAGCCACAGAUUUGACUAAGCAUUAUCCUGAAUUGGUUGAACCCGCAAAUCUGAUCCUAAAGAAGUGCAAUGGACUUCCCCUUGCGAUACUCACCAUAGGUGGAUUUUUGGCGGCACAACCAACAAAAACUGUCGGGGAGUGGAUGAAACUGGAUCGAUGUAUCAGUCUGGAGAGGGAGAUGAAUCCAAAGUUUGAGGGUGUAAAAACAGUGCUUCUGAAAAGUUAUGAUGGCCUACCCUAUUACCUCAAGUCCUGCAUCUUGUACUUAUCCAUCUUCCUUGAAGAUCACAUAGUUAGCCGGAGACGUUUGGUGUGCCGAUGGGUUGCAGAAGGUUACUCAGAGGAUACAUCCACGGCCAAAAGAUACUUCAUGGAACUUCUAGAGAGAAGCAUGAUAUUACCAACUCAGAUUUCACUUUGCAGCAUACAAGGAACUAACUCAUGUCAAGUACAUGAUCCGAUCCGUGAUAUCAUCAUAGAAAAGUCAAUGCAGGAAAAUCUUGUUUUCAGGCUGGAGGAAGGAUGCAACUCAAACAACCAAGGCACAUUCCGUCACCUUGCCAUAAGCAGUAAUUGGGAUGGAGACAAAGGUCAGUUUGAGGCCACCAUGAAGUUGUCAUGUAUACGGUCAUUGACGGUGUUUGGCGAGUGGAGGCCAUUUUAUAUUUCUGACAAGAUGAGAUUUCUUCGUGUGUUGGACCUCGAAGGAACUGAAGAUCUAGCCGAUCAUCACCUUGAGCACAUUGGGAAUCAUCUUCAUCUGAGAUACCUUUCUCUAAGAGGGUGUGAAGGGAUAUAUUACCUGCCAGAUUCAGUGGGUAACCUGCGACAACUUGAGACACUAGACAUCAAAAAUACAAGAAUAACAAGGUUGCCAAGAACCAUCGCCAAGCUUAGCAAGCUAUGUCAACUGAAAGCUGGCAAUGAAUUCUAUAUCGGAGAAGAACGACCAUCACUAGCAUGUUGUGUACCUUUCGCUUCUUGUUGCGCGAUGGUCAUACAAGCUUAUGCUGUUAAGGUGCCAGUAGGGAUCGGGGAACUGAAAUCCCUGAACACACUGCGAUGUGUGCACCUUGAAUGGGAAAAUGCCAUCAUACAAGAGAUAGGAGGUCUCACCAACCUCCGCAAGUUAGGAGUGUUUGGCAUUGACAGGGGUAAUGGCCCGGAGUUUUGUUCAGCCAUUUCAGGUCUUGGCCGCCUUGAAUCUUUGUCAGUGCGGUCAGAGGUAUGGGAUUUAUGUGACAUCUUGAAUGGCAUGUCCUCGCCUCCAGAAAAUCUCCGGAGCCUCAAGCUUCUCGGUUGGAUGGAUGAACUGCCGCAAUGGAUCAAGGUGCUCCAGAAUUUGGUGAAGAUUAAGCUGGAAUCCACCGAGGUGUCUAUUAACGAUGAAGACAUGCGAAUCCUUGGGAACCUACCAAACCUAUCCAUUCUGUCUAUCAUGGAGAAAUCGUUCCAGAGUGCACUACCUAUCACUUUCCAUAGUGGCCUUUUCAGAAGCCUCGUGAGGCUCGAGCUUGUUUACAUGGACGUGGAGGUCGGAUCGUUGGAGUUUGAGGCAUCAUCGAUGCCCAAACUCGAGGUGCUGAACCUGCGACUUAUCGAUUGUGAAAUCAGCUUUUCUGGACUGGAAUUUAUCCCGAGCAUCAAGGAAGUGCGGCUCUUGGUCGUCGUUACCCCAACACUCAUCGCACGAAAGGAAAAUAUGACCGAAGAAGAAGCAGAAGAGGAGGCAAGACACAGGGAAGACAAAGUCAAGGCAGACAUGAGGAAGCAGCUCGCCAACAAUGAAAACUGCCCCAUUAUGAACGAGCUAGGUCCACAAAUUGUUUUCUGA